UGGGGAAUCUUGCGCAAUGGGCGAAAGCCUGACGCAGCAACGCCGCGUGAGCGAAGACGGCCUUCGGGUUGUAAAGCUCUGUCAGGAGGGACGAAGCCACUCAGGUGAAUAGCCGAGAGGGUGACGGUACCUCCAGAGGAAGCCCCGGCUAACUACGUGCCAGCAGCCGCGGUAAUACGUAGGGGGCAAGCGUUGUCCGGAAUCAUUGGGCGUAAAGCGCGUGUAGGCGGCCAUCCAAGUCUGGUGUGAAAGCUCGGGGCUCAACCCCGAGUCUGCACUGGAAACUGGAUGGCUUGAGUCCGGAAGAGGAGACUGGAAUUCCUGGUGUAGCGGUGAAAUGCGCAGAUAUCAGGAAGAACACCGGUGGCGAAGGCGGGUCUCUGGGACGGUACUGACGCUGAGACGCGAAAGCGUGGGGAGCAAACA
rnacentral:rRNA from 1 species